UCUAAAUAGUAUGAAAUGAUAUUACUAAUUGAUUACAAAUUUAAACAUAGAAGUAAGAAAAAAAGAAAAGAAAAGGAAGAAUAAUAUAUAGUUGUGAGGAUAAAUGAUUGCUUUUGAUUUUUGAUAAUCUUGUCGGGUAAUUUCUCUUUUCUCUAUGCCUGCCGUGCCAGCACAUAAAAAAAUAUAAUAACAAAAUUAAAAUUAAAAAAGAAGGUGGAGAUUAAUAUUAAUAAUAACAACAACAACAAUAAAAUAUUGAAUUAUUGCAUCAUCAUCAUCAUCAGCAUCAUCGCCGCCGGUGGUCAAAGGCACAACGCGGUACAUCGAAGAUCAUCGCUGCUAAAAUCAAAAAGAUCGGAAGGUGGAAUGUUGAGAUCGAAAGGCAGAGGGGUUUUUUUCCGAGGAACGACAGGGGAGGAAGCGAUGUCGUCGCCGUCGUCGAUAACGGAGGAAGAAGAAUCGCAAUCGCUAUGGCAAUCCUCGGGGAGAAGUGGGGGAGUACGAGGGUAACGACGAGAGGGAGAAGUGCUAGUAAGGGCAGGAAGG
rnacentral:lncRNA from 1 species